UACAGAGGGUGCAAGCGUUAAUCGGAAUUACUGGGCGUAAAGCGUGCGUAGACGGUAGCGUAAGUCGGGUGUGAAAGCCCCGGGCUCAACCUGGGAAUUGCAUUCGAGACUGCUCUGCUAGGGUGCGGAAGAGGGAAGCGGAAUUUCCGGUGUAGCGGUGAAAUGCGUAGAUAUCGGAAGGAACACCAGUGGCGAAAAGCGGCUUCCUGGUCCAAGCACCGACGUCAGGCACGAAAGCGUGGGGAGCAAACAGG
rnacentral:rRNA from 1 species